GCUCCGUCCCGGCGGCAGCCGAGCGCCUUAGCGUCGCGGCCUCCUGGGGCGGGGAAGCGGCUGUGCUGGGGCCGGGCUACGCCCUGAGGUGGCCUUGGAGCGGGAGCCCCCUGUGACCUUUGCCGGGCUCUCCGGAGCUGGGGGGCCCGAUCGCCGCGGUGCCGGCGGCGUGCGCGGAGGGCACCAGGUGGCAGUGACUGCCGGGUGCCGGGGUGGAGCGGGUGAGGCCCGCUGCUCCCAUCGGGAGCGGGAGUGGCUCCAGGACCCAUCUGGAUGGAAGGAUCCCGCCGCUGAUCUCUUAUGAAGGUUCCGCUCGGAUUUCGGCCGGUGCCGGUCCUGCUGCGCUGGUGAAGGCUCUGCGAAGUUACCGAGGAAAAGCUCCUGCCCGCACUUACCAAAAAACAUUAAUGUAAAGGGUGUAUAAAAUCAUAAAUAUUCUUGCUUCAAUUCUGUGCUUUUCGUUCAUCUUGAAAUGUGAAAGGAUUGAGCUCAGGGGCUGUCCUACCUCUGUCCUGCACCCAUCAUUCCCCCCCCCUCCCCCCGCGAAAUGCAGCCUGAACGCGGGAGCCCUGAAGACUAGGAGUACUUGUCUCAGCAUCUGACUUGUCCGAUGGAAAAACUACUCCAAUCGUUCUUCUGAAAUGGACACUGAAGCAGCAUGGCUGUGUCUUGGAUAAUAGGAAUCUGAACUUAAUAUCCAAAAUCUGAAGGAAUUCAGUCUGUGCAGAAAUUAUUGUGGUAUAUUUCUUCUUGAAGAAUGUCCAGCAAGAAAAAAACAUGAAAAAAUGGCAUUGCCUUUGGAUGCAAAGUCCUCUGUCUACCUCAUGAUGGAAGCUGCUGAAGUUCUAGGUCAGUGCUGUUCUACUGAGCAUUCACCUUGGUACUUCUAAGAAGAUUGGGUGCAGUUGCAAGCCCCAGUAACCAGAUUGGCAUGGACCUCUUUUCCAUUGCCCUGAGUUUGUUGAAAGAAUUUCAAAGCAGCUUCCUUUAAUGGGCUGGAAGUCAUGUUGCCUCACAGCUUUUUGGUUCAUUCUUUCAUGUCAUGCCAUAUGCUGCCUCUGCGGUGUGAUGAGUUCUCAUUGUCUCCCAGUACAGAAUGGGAACUUCUGCCAUGAGUGCAGAAUGCUGCUGCCUCCAACAUGGAGUGUUCUCCUUUAGACAGAGCAUGCCAGUCUCACUCACAGAGAAGAGCUAUGUCAAAAAGCAUCAGAAGCAUUCCUUUUCUUGGGCAAGAGUUGUAUCUCCAUGUCAAUUCAAUACAAUCCAAGAACACAACCCUGAAGUCAAACGUUUAGAAGGAAGUGUUUUCCUCCUGGCUUCUCCUAGUAAGGAGCUAUUCCCUGUAUGACCUGGGGCAGCCCGGUUUAUUAUGUUCAUAGGCACAUCUGCCCAGCUUCUCCAUCGUUUGCAUCAAGUAGCAGAGCAAUUUGCUGACUAAAUGUAAGUAUCAUGAAGUUGGACCUCUCUUCAUGGAAGUGUCUUUUUCUCCUGUGUUGGGAAGUCUAAAUCCUGCAGUUCUUCUCUGGAACAGUAGUUUUAUGAAGAGUCUGUGUAUCAGUCCUUACAAGACAUGCAGAGCAAGAUGUUCAAAGAUGAGCACCUAAACAUGUGUGGAAGGUACUGGCAUAGCAGCUCAGAGACCUUUUCUGUAGUACCAGGCGUCAAUCUCUCGAUGCUUUGUUUUCAGGGAAUGUCACAUCAUGGAUUUAAGUUCAUUAUUUCAGUCUAGGUACCAUUCUCAGUGAGACACUGGUUGUCAGGAAUUACUUCGUAAAUGAGUUUGCAGAAGAGUGGAAAGGGUGAUUGAGAGCAGGGAGACACCUUGGAGUGAAUUGUCAGCAGAAUGGUGAACAGGGAGGAUCUUCUACUGCCAGUCAGGCUCCCAGUGUCCUGAGCCCAGGUUUGAUUAAUGAAUUAAUAACAUGAAAAAAAUGUCACAGCUGUUACAGCAUCGUGUCACCACCUCAGUGCUACUGCAGAAAACACUCUGUGCCUUGGCAGGAAAGAAAGGCAGAAGAGCCUACGAGAAGAUGGUAGAAAAUGAGCGAUUGCGGUGUCUUACAAGACUUUUCCUCACAAACUUGAAAGAGUUAUGGAUGGCAUGAACUCAUUGCCAGAAAUUGAUAGUUUGGUCAAGCUUGGAUGGUUUUCCACAGGGAUGCUGCAAAGGACCUAAGCCCAGAGGCUUUCUGCUCUGAGCUGUAACUGAUGUUUUUAGUGUCUUUGACCAAUGUAAGAAGGUGUGCAGGCUUUUUAACAAGGUAAUUAACUAGUACAAUUCUUUUUAUGAAUAAAUAGUUUUUCCUGUCUCA